GACGAACGCUGGCGGCGUGCUUAACACAUGCAAGUCGAACGGUAAGGCCCUUCGGGGUACACGAGUGGCGAACGGGUGAGUAACACGUGGGUGAUCUGCCCUGCACUUCGGGAUAAGCCUGGGAAACUGGGUCUAAUACCGGAUAGGACCUCUGCCUGCAUGGGUGGUGGUGGAAAGCUUUUGCGGUGUGGGAUGGGCCCGCGGCCUAUCAGCUUGUUGGUGGGGUGAUGGCCUACCAAGGCGACGACGGGUAGCCGGCCUGAGAGGGUGACCGUCCACACUGGGACUGAGACGCGGCCCAGACUCCUACGGGAGGCAGCAGUGAGGAAUUUUCCGCAAUGGGCGAAAGCCUGACGGAGCGACACCGCGUGAAGGAUGAAGCUUUUCGGAGUGUAAACUUCUUUUAUGUAUGAAGAUUAUGACGGUAAUACAUGAAUAAGCACCGGCUAACUACGUGCCAGCCGCCGCCGUAA
rnacentral:rRNA from 1 species